rnacentral:antisense_RNA from 1 species
UAUGGCAGCUGUGCGUGGGUUACCUUCGUGUGUGCAGGGAUUCUCAGUGCCCCCGGUCUGUCAACCCACAAACAGCUGCACUGAGAGG